rnacentral:rRNA from 1 species
AUACGGAGGGUGCGAGCGUUAAUCGGAAUUACUGGGCGUAAAGGGCGCGUAGGCGGUUAAAUCAGUCAGAUGUGAAAGCCCCGGGCUUAACCUGGGAAUGGCAUUUGAUACUGUUUAGCUAGAGUUUGGUAGAGGGGAGUGGAAUUUCCGGUGUAGCGGUGAAAUGCGUAGAGAUCGGAAGGAACAUCAGUGGCGAAGGCGGCUCUCUGGACCAAAACUGACGCUGAGGUGCGAAAGCGUGGGUAGCAAACAGCAGUAGAAACCCCAGUAGUCC